GAUCAAACCACGGAGCUACCAGCAGGCUGUGAAAGGCCUUGCUUCAGAGGAUAAUCCUGAACAUGAGGAGACAACAGAGGAGCAGAUGACACAAACCUGCUUUGCAGUGGGGAGGACCUGGAUCAACUACUGGAUACUGUGGGAAUUGAAAUGGGAAAAUUACAGAGUUGGUUUGAUACAAAUAAACUAACACUAAAUUUAAGUAAAACAAAGUAUAUUAUAUUUGGAAACCGUCCGACCAACACAGACAAAAUUCUUACAAUAAAUAAUAUAGAAAUAGAAAGAGUAAAUGAAGUAAAAUUUCUUGGAGUGCUUAUAGAUAAUAAAUUAAGUUGGAAACCACAUAUAAUGUAUAUCAAAUCAAAAAUUUCAAAAUCACUAGCAGUAUUAUAUAGAGUAAAAGACCUUAUAAAUCAGUCAUCAUUAUAUUCCUUGUACUGCUCCUUCAUACUCCCAUACAUUAUGUACUGUGUGGAGGUGUGGGGCAAUACGUACAAAACAAACACAGAUCCAAUCUUCAUUCUUCAAAAGAAAGCAAUACGACUUGUAAAUAAUGCUGAUUAUAGAGAACCAUCUAACCCUCUCUUUAUUAAAUUGAACUCACUGAAAUACAACGACCUAGUCGACUUUAAAACCAUCCAACUCAUGUACAAAAUAAAAAAUAAUCAAUUACCAAACAGUAUCCAGAGGUUGUUUGAGUGGAGGGAAAGUACCCAU